rnacentral:rRNA from 1 species
AGCGAACGCUGGCGGCAGGCUUAACACAUGCAAGUCGAGCGGGCAUCCUUGUGGUGUCAGCGGCAGACGGGUGAGUAACGCGUGGGAACGUGCCCUUCGGUUCGGAAUAACUCAGGGAAACUUGAGCUAAUACCGGAUACGUGCGAGAGCAGAAAGGUUUAUCUGCCGAAGGAUCGGCCCGCGUCUGAUUAGCUAGUUGGUGAGGUUAUGGCUCACCAAGGCGACGAUCAGUAGCUGGUCUGAGAGGAUGAUCAGCCACACUGGGACUGAGACACGGCCCAGACUCCUACGGGAGGCAGCAGUGGGGAAUAGUGGACAAUGGGGGCAACCCUGAUCCAGCCAUGCCGCGUGAGUGAUGACGGCCUUAGGGUUGUAAAGCUCUUUUCUCCGGGACGAUAAUGACGGUACCGGAGGAAUAAGCCCCGGCUAACUUCGUG